rnacentral:rRNA from 1 species
AGUGAACGCUGGCGGUAGGCCUAACACAUGCAAGUCGAACGGCAGCACAGUAAGAGCUUGCUCUUACGGGUGGCGAGUGGCGGACGGGUGAGGAAUACAUCGGAACCUACUUUUUCGUGGGGGAUAACGUAGGGAAACUUACGCUAAUACCGCAUACGACCUACGGGUGAAAGCAGGGGAUCUUCGGACCUUGCGCGAUUGAAUGAGCCGAUGUCGGAUUAGCUAGUUGGCGGGGUAAAGGCCCACCAAGGCGACGAUCCGUAGCUGGUCUGAGAGGAUGAUCAGUCACACUGGAACUGAGACACGGUCCAGACUCCUACGGGAGGCAGCAGUGGGGAAUAUUGGACAAUGGGCGCAAGCCUGAUCCAGCCAUACCGCGUGGGUGAAGAAGGCCUUCGGGUUGUAAAGCCCUUUUGUUGGGAAAGAAAAGCAGCAGGUUAAUACCCCGCUGUUCUGACGGUACCCAAAGAAUAAGCACCGGCUAACUUCGUG